rnacentral:rRNA from 1 species
CAAAAACAUCUCCCCUUGUGAGUUUUAAUAGGGGGUAGGCCCUGCCCAGUGGAGAAUUUCUAAACGGAAGGGUUAACUUUUAAAGUAGCGUAAUAAUUUGUCCCUUAAUUAGGGUCUGAAUGAAUGGGUUGACGUGGGAUGACUGUCUUAAAAGAAUUAGUUGAAAUUUUCUUUUCAGUGAAAAGCCUGAGAUAGGAUUAAAAGACGAGAAGACCCCGUCGAGCUUAAGAGGAAUGGGAAUUUUUUCUUUUUUUCCAGGUUUGUUGGGGUAACAAUGGAGAAAUUUAACCUCCAGUUUUUUAUAGAUCCACCUAUUGGUGAUAAAAAGAAAAAGCUACCGCGGGGAUAACAGCGCAAGACGGCCAGAGAGUUCUUAUCUAAGGCCGUAAGUGCGACCUCGAUGUUGGAUUAAGGUGAGCUUAAGGGUGCAGCAGCUCUUAAAGCGGGACUGUUCGUCCUUUAAUUCCUUACAUGAUCUGA